CAGUCAGAAGACUCAAUUUAAUACCGAAACGAAAGCCAAUUCAAGGCUCAAUCGCAUUAAGAAGCAAUUUCAUUUAACUCUUUGGGGACACAGAUGGAUCUCAUUUUAAACGAGACUCAAAUAAUAAUCCUAGGAAGUAACCGGAGCGACUAAGAUUCCGUUGUUUCAAACCAUUCUAAUGAAAUGACAUUUGUAAUAUCCAAAUUUUCUGAUAUUGAGUUCCCAGGAUCAAUGCAUGAAGAUCAACAGACAGUAGAAGAUCUGCAGCUUAUCGGAAUACAGAAGAAUUUUAUGAUAUAUAAAUGCAGUAGAUAUAUUUUUUUCUGAA